GCUUGUCUCAAAGAUUAAGCCAUGCAUGUCUCAGUAUAAGUUCCUGUACGGCGAAACUGCGAAUGGCUCAUUAAAACAGUUACAGUUUAUUUGAUGGUCGUUCCUUACAUGGAUAACUGUGGUAAUUCUAGAGCUAAUACAUGCAAAAAAACCCAGACUUACGAAUGGGUGCACUUAUUAGAUAAAGCCAACGCUGGGUAAAACCAGUUUCCCUUGGUGAUUCAUAAUAAUUAAGCGGAUCGCAUGGCCUUGUGCUAGCGACAGUCCACUCGAUUUUCUGCCCUAUCAUGGUUGAGAUUGUAAGAUAGAGGCUUACAAUGCCUACAACGGGUAACGGGGAAUUAGGGUUCGAUUCCGGAGAGGGAGCCUGAGAAACGGCUACCACAUCCAAGGAAGGCAGCAGG
rnacentral:rRNA from 1 species